GUUGGUUUAUUGUUAGGUAGUUUGUGAGUUAUUUGGAAGUAUAAUUCUGAGCUGAUCUUGCACAAUUCUUGAUCUUUCCAGUGGUCUAUUGCACACAGAUAGGCUUCUUUUGGCAUUUUGAUACGGAAACAGAGUGAGCAAAGAGCACUUGAAGAUGCAUAUAACUACAGAAUCACAGCAAAAACCUUUCUAUAUCAACCUUUCUGUUGAUAUAGUGGCCAACCAGUUGUUUAUAGAAAGCCCACAAGCAUGACCUGAAAAUAUUUAAAACAUUGCUGUAGAUAUCAUCGGUGCUUCAGGGGCCAGAAGUCUUGGAGUCUGGUUCAGAUGGAGCAGAGAAGAUUCGGCACUUCAGUUUCAUGCUUCCCCUGAAUCCCAGCUUGUGACUGUUCCUUUUGAAGGGGUACUUGAAUUUAUAUUUUGAGAUCUACAGCAUGGAAAAAGAGCAAGGGAUGCCGCAAGGCGGAGUUCGAAGGAGAUGCUUUGAAACGCAAUGGAAUCAAGUCUCGGAGGCGGGACUGGUAGUGUGUAAGAUCUGCCCCUGCUCUCGCAGCAGGGCCCUCUUUCCUGGAACUGGAGAAAACGAAGAGCCAAGCUGUCGCCAGUCGGGAGUUAAGAUCAAGCUCUAGCUCGGUCCUCACAGCUUUUUAGGGUUGCAAGGAUUCUAGCUGUGUGGUUGUUUCGCCCCGGCGAGACGAAAGAGUUGGGGGAAGGGGGAGGCGGUGUGGAAACGGAGAGCAUGCCUUCUGUCGGAAUCGCAAAGAAAAAGCUGCGCAGGAUGGAAACCGUCUCUUGGGAAUUCCCAACGUUAUCUGGAAGCGAGGGUGAAAACAUGUACAAGGAUGCGGACGUUAAGAUAUCCAGCUGGAGGAAUACAUCGGAAAUGCAAAAGAGGUUGCUACGAGGAUGAACUGGUAGGAUGUAACUUCACACAGUUUAGCAUUUGCUGAGGUGUUCAAUUCCAGAAAUAAAUUUAAAGAGUGAAAUAUCUUAUUACGUCCU
rnacentral:lncRNA from 1 species